ACACGGACCAGACUCCUACGGGAGGCAGCAGUGAGGAAUAUUGGUCAAUGGUCGAGAGACUGAACCAGCCAAAUCGCGUGAAGGACGACGGCCCUAUGGGUUGUAAACUUCUUUUACAGGGGAAUAAAGUGCUCCACGUGUGGAGUUUUGUAUGUACCCUGUGAAUAAGCAUCGGCUAACUCCGUGCCAGCAGCCGCGGUAAUACGGAGGAUGCGAGCGUUAUCCGGAUUUAUUGGGUUUAAAGGGUGCGUAGGCGGGACCAUAAGUCAGCGGUGAAAGUUUUCGGCUCAACCGGAAAAUUGCCGUUGAAACUGUGGUUCUUGAGUGCAGAAGAGGUAGGCGGAAUUCGUUGUGUAGCGGUGAAAUGCGUAGAUAUAACGAAGAACACCAAUUGCGUAGGCAGCUUACCAUACUGCAACUGACGCUGAGGCACGAAAGUGUGGGUAUCAAACAGGGUUAGAUACCCUGGUAGUCCACACAGUAAACGAUGAAUACUAGCUGUUUGCGAUAUACAGCAAGCGGCCGAGCGAAAGCAUUAAGUAUUCCACCUGGGGAGUACGCCGGCAACGGUGAAACUCAAAGGAAUUGACGGGGGCCCGCACAAGCGGAGGAACAUGUGGUUUAAUUCGAUGAUACGCGAGGAGCCUUACCCGGGCUUGAAUUGCAUCUGAAUGUAGUGGAAACAUUACAGCUAGCAAUAGCAGAUGUGAAGGUGCUGCAUGGUUGUCGUCAGCUCGUGCCGUGAGGCGUCGGCUUAAGUGCCAUAACGAGCGCAACCCUCAUCACUAGUUACCAUCAGGUCAAGCUGGGGACUCUAGUGAGACUGCCGGCGUAAGCUGUGAGGAAGGUGGGGAUGACGUCAAAUCAGCACGGCCCUUACGUCCGGGGCGACACACGUGUUACAAUGGAGGGUACAGCGGGAAGCUACCUGGCGACAGGAUGCCAAUCUUAAAAACCCUUCUCAGUUCGGAUCGGAGUCUGCAACUCG
rnacentral:rRNA from 1 species